GACGAACGCUGGCGGCGUGCCUAAUACAUGCAAGUAGAACGCUGAAGAGAGGAGCUUGCUCUUCUUGGAUGAGUUGCGAACGGGUGAGUAACGCGUAGGUAACCUGCCUUGUAGCGGGGGAUAACUAUUGGAAACGAUAGCUAAUACCGCAUAACAAUGGAUGACACAUGUCAUUUAUUUGAAAGGGGCAAUUGCUCCACUACAAGAUGGACCUGCGUUGUAUUAGCUAGUAGGUGAGGUAAUGGCUCACCUAGGCGACGAUACAUAGCCGACCUGAGAGGGUGAGCGGCCACACUGGGACUGAGACACGGCCCAGACUCCUACAGGAGGCAGCAGUAGGGAAUCUUCGGCAAUGGGGGCAACCCUGACCGAGCAACGCCGCGUGAGUGAAGAAGGUUUUCGGAUCGUAAAGCUCUGUUGUAAGUCAAGAACGGGUGUGAGAGUGGAAAGUUCACACUGUGACGGUAGCUUACCAGAAAGGGACGGCUAACUACGUG
rnacentral:rRNA from 1 species